rnacentral:rRNA from 1 species
AAUAUUUCACAAUGGAGGGAACUCUGAUGCAGCGACGCCGCGUGAGCGAUGAAGGNUUNNGGGUCNUNAAGCCCUGUCCUAGGNNNNNAUAAUGACGGUACCCUAGGAGGAAGCCCCGGCUACCUACGUGCCAGCAGCCGCGGUAAUACGUAGGGGGCGAGCGUUGUCCGGAAUUAUUGGGCGUAAAGGGUACGCAGGCGGCCAUGUAAGUCAGAUGUGAAAGACAUAGGCUUAACUUAUGUAAGCAUUUGAAACUGCGUGGCUUGAGUUAAGGAGAGGAAAGUGGAAUUCCUAGUGUAGCGGUGAAAUGCGUAGAUAUUAGGAAGAAUAUCAGUGGCGAAGGCGACUUUCUGGACUUAUACUGACGCUGAGGUACGAAAGCGUGGGGAGCAAACA